rnacentral:rRNA from 1 species
CAAUAGCGUAUAUUAAAGUUGUUGCAGUUAAAAAGCUCGUAGUUGGAUUUCUGGUGGGAGCGAUCGGUCUGGCGCUUAGCGCGAGUACUUGCAUCGUCUCCGGCCAUCCUUGGGGAAAGUCUGUCUGGCAUUAAGUUGUCGGGCAGAGGAUCCUCAUCGUUUACUGUGAAAAAAUUAGAGUGUUCAAAGCAGGCUUAUGCCGUUGAAUAUAUUAGCAUGGAAUAAUAAGAUAGGACUUUGGUACUAUUUUGUUGGUUUGCGCACCAAAGUAAUGACUAAUAGGGACAGUUGGGGGUAUUCGUAUUCCGUUGUCAGAGGUGAAAUUCUUGGAUUUACGGAAGACGAACUACUGCGAAAGCAUUUACCAAGGAUGUUUUCAUUAA